UGUGAUUGACGAAAAAAAAUUAGGUGUACGAAAAGAAAAGUUAAUGAAUGUAACGAUAACGGUCCCAAAUUGUUAGAAUCUAUAACUUUUUCAUUUUCAUUUCUAUAUUUGUUUUCCAUCAAAUUCUUAAUAUACAACCUUAAAUUUCAAAAUAUUCACGUGGAAGAUUGUAGCAACAAAAGUUAUCAUAACCCUAUCAUAAAUUAUACUAGCAAUUGCCCGUGCCCACGGGCACUAUGAAAAAAAAAUUAAAAAAAUAUUUUUAUCAAUUUUGAUGAUUUUUCAUCGCGGAAGAACAAAUAAAAAUAAAAAACCUAAUCCACAAAUAAGGUAUUUUGUUUUUCUCCAAAAAAACUAAUAACUCUAAUCUAAAAUAACAUAAGAGAACUGGUUUUUUCACCCCUUGACAACCCCACCCACCCCGCGAUAUGACCUUUUUUUGUUUUUUAAUUUUCAAUUUUAUCUCAUUUUUCUUAAAUACAUUGUGCAUUCAACUUUGAUCUGUUUCAAUACCCAUAUUCUUUUUUUUAAUACUCUUAUUUUUUAUUUUUAUUUUUACUUUUACUUCUGAAUUUUUAUAUAAACAAAGGAUGAUAAAAAAUUUUGUAAUCCAUUUAUGUUUUUUCCUUUAAUACCCCUUUAUUCUGGGUUUGUUCUUGUUACUUGCACUUUUAAAGUUUUAGAUUAUAAAAAAUUAUGAUAAAAUGUCAUAAUUCUUUCUUUACUCCCACAGUAUGUUUUUUCUAAAAGAAAAAAAAAUAGGAUUAACUUUUUUAUUUUCUUCAAAAAUGUUGAUUUGGGUGCUUAGUUAUAUGUUUUGAUAUUCAUUAUUUGAGGGACUAUUAUUGAAAAUUAAAUAAGUGUCUUUUUUAGUAGUCUGAUUUAUUAUUAAAAAUAAUAAGAAAAAUAAUAAAUUUUAAGUAUCAAUACAGUAAUAAAUUCAACAUUAAAUAAGGUUGUGAAAGUAAAAUUCGGAAGUGAAUGUAAAAAAAAAAAAGAAUUACGGGAUAUUACAAAAAAAAUUAAAUAAUAAAAAAAUAAAAACAUAUUAUUUUCAACCCACCAAAAUUUUACAAAAAUAUUAAAAAAUCUUGAUUCGUAUUUUUCUUUUAUAAAAAAAAUAAGGUAUGAGUAAGAAUGAUCAAUUUUAUCAUAAUUUUUUUAUAUAAAUUCGAAAGUGAAAGUAAAAAGAAAAAAAAACGAAUUAAGGGGUAUUAAAAGAAAAGAAAAUAAAUGGGUUUUAUUAAAUUAUAAAAAAACGUUUUAUAUAAAAAAUUUAAAGUAAAAAAAAAGAAAGAGAAUUAAGAGGGGGUUUAAAAAAAAAGUAUAGAAAAAGUUGAAUGUGAAAGUGAUGGGGAGGAGAGAGAAAGUGAAAGUGAUCAGAAGGAGAGAGUGAAAAGUGAUAUUUUUAGGCGGAAAAAAACCCUAAUUUGACGGCGACUUGAAACCGUUGAUUAACUCAAUUGAUUUCAGCGUAGAUAGCGAUAGAUAGAUUUAGAAUCAAACGUGUUGUGAUUUGUAUUAUAGAUAUAAAAAAAAUUAUGGUUCAAUUUUGCUCUAAUAAUAUAUAUUUAAUGUUUAUGUACAGGUGAUUUUAUACAGUAUUCACCUUUUAAAUUUAAGAAUUAUGCGUCCGUUUUACUUGCCUGUUGUCAUUGUUAAUAAAUCAGGGUAUACAUGGGUCCGAGAACAAAUAAAGGGCAAGCUUUUCCAAAAAAAUUUUGUCGAAUUUCAAAAUUAAUUUGGUACAUUGAAUUUGGUUCCUCCAAAUUUUAGAGUACUAGUCUUCAAAACAAUAGACAAUUUGAUACACGUGCCCUAUAUACGAGAAGCCUUGUUCUUAGGAAGCAGUUCCAAUGAAAUUGUGGGGGUGUGUGGAUGAAAAAUAGAGAAAGGAAUGAAGAACGACAUAUGCGUGGCUGGUCAGUGGUUGAGGAUGGUUGUAGGCGUGCUAGUUGCCUACGGUACGGAUGGAUCAGUUGCCGGCGUAUCAAUACAGGAUGUGGGUGUCAGAGGGAACUUCACCGUGCAAGUUAUCAUCUGACUCUGACAUGCCGUUUGAAUUCUCGCCGACCGUUGUGUGUCAACCGAAUUCCGGCACAAAGACCCCACCAAACUUGCAAUAGAGCGACAGUUCAGCGGCGAUGUUUGCCCUAACUCAACCGAAAUGAUACUGGAUAUUUUGUCCCUACAGAAGAACAAGAGGAGCUAAAGGUGCACCCUACAUUGCACGUUUAUUUUGAGGUUAGAUAUUUAAGUUUUGUGAGGAAACUUUUUUACUCAAAUGAGAAAUUUGACCUUUUUAAAAUCUUAUCUUAAAUUUUGGAGGUUUUAAGCUUUUGAUGGAUAAAUUUCUCACUUCGUUUAAAAAAUUUUAAUAUAUAAAAGUAAAAUUUUAAUUUUAUAUCCACGAGAUUUUUCAAUUGCAAACACAUCACUUCACACCAAUAUGUUAUAUAUUUUAAUUUUAUUUUUAAACUUUUUUUGUUUUAAAAUGAUAAUUUAUAUUCAUUUUAUAAUAUUUUGUGGAAUGAUCAAAUUUAUAUUAUAGAGGUAUACAUAGAUAGCAAACACGCAUUAAUAUGAUAAUUUGUUAAAAUAAUUAUUUUUUUUUUUUUCUUUUUCUUCAAAAUUUAUCGAGCAUGGAAUUCUAUUGACAUAAUUUAAAAACAUUUCACGCAUGAUUUUUUUUAGUCUUUUGCUUUGACGGUUUUUUUACCGUCCCGGACCUCGUCGCCCUCACUAUCUUCACGAUGACAGCGUGGCGCCGGCGUCAUCAGGGUCUCGGAUUAUCACCAUUUAUGGUUGACAAUUUGUACCGUUUAGUCUUGUUUAUCAACUUAAGAUUGUAUUAUCAAGUAACAUUUCUACAUUUUGUUGUUUGAGUUUGUGUUUGAAAAAUAAGCCAUAUUCUAUCCAAUUAAAACUUACUUUCAGUAAUUAUGCUUUUUUUUUAAAGUGCUUUGAACAAAAAAGUUUAAUUGAAUCGAAUAGAGGCCUUUUUAGAAUGGCAAGAAAAAACAACCAAAGUUGUUCUUUACAUACUAUUAUUUUUGUUUGUAGUGAAUUUUUUAUCUUUUGGUUGAUAAACUUUUUACUUUCCUAAUUGGUUAUUGUACAAAUCAUCAAAAUAGUAUAAAACAAAAUACUUGUUUACAAAAAAUACUAAAAAUUAAUUAAUCCAAUUAAUUUGUUGAAAAAGACUUAUGUAUUCCCUUACAAACAUACCAUUUCUCCUCUGAUUUGUUUUCCACUUAAACGUACUUAUAUAUGAGUCAUUUUGGUGUACAUAAUAAACAAAAAUGAUAAAAAUAGUACGUUAGGUAGCAGUUCAUUGACGGUUAAAUACUCACAUGUUGUAAAUACUAUAAAAAAGCAAAGUCCCACUCAAUUCUCAAAGCAUAAGGGACUUUAAGUGCACAUAGAUGAAACACGUAAAAAUAAAAACAAAUUUGGUCCAGUUUGCAAUCAGUUUACAGACAAAAAUUAAGAUGAGACAAAAAAAAUUUAUGAACAGAGAAGUGCUAUACACUAUACUGCAGUUCAAGUUAAGUUAUUUGUGUUAGUAGUUUAGUCAAACAAGUAUUCCAUACAAAAUGACCAUGGGGAUUAAUCAAUUUCCCAUCCCAAAAAUCCUUAGAAAUUUGUAAGGAACCCUUCUCUUAUGAUUAUCACCUGAACUCCCCCCGACAUCCUUUGCUAUGGAAAUUUGAUUUACUUGCACAAUCUUCUUCAACCUACUUACAUCAAAUAUGUCAAGGUUCUCGGUUAUUCUCUCCUCGGUAAAGCUCUGACAAGAACCACUCCACCCCUUGCUUCAUGAACCACUCUAAGGCAUACCUUCAAAUAGAAAACAAACUCCUUUGUGAAUUCUAAUACUGCCUAGCGAUUUUGCGUUUUGUGGACUAGAGCUGAGUAACAAAUUCAUCCUAAAGUACGUUGAUUACUAUGUCAUAGUGAUAUAUUUGCCUUCACCAUUCCCAUAAUAACUUUCUAAACAAUCAGUGAAUCCCCAUUAUUGAAUCUAAUAUUAAUAACUAUUCAACUAGUGUCCGGGUGUUCCUGCUGGGGACUCUCUUAUCCAAUGCCGUGAUCUUAGAGUGUAUCCUCCGUUAAAAUUAAUGCUAUAUUUAUGAUGUGCAAACUAAUCGUAUUGCCUUCUACAUUCAUCCUCCCCAACCAUACAUUUAUGUGUGUUAAGUAGGGACCACCCCUAUUACACCACAUAGUAACCCUCAUUCCAAAAGGUUCGUACCUUCUCAUCCGCUAAGCUUGCGCCCUUCCCUUUCCACUGGCCAUCCAAAGGUUUUGAAUUGGUAACCCCACAGGGUUCCCUCCGGCUUUUAGAUCAUGGACAUACAGUAGCAGAGUCUGGUUGUUCGAAAUACUGGUGCCUGCACCUCCCAAUGAAAUAACAACUUCUUGUGUCCACCCGGUUAUUACGCCGCCAACAGGGGACGGAAAGUCAUAAGCCACUCUUACAUGGGUUCUUUAUCAGUGAUCAUGGUCUUUAUGCCUGGGGAGUAGUUCUUAUAUUCACGCGUCAUGGUGUCUACGUUGGGCUGUUCGCUGUCCCCUAACACCUCAAGCUUUAGACAAUCUUUUUUGCCCGGUUUCCCGAGCGCCACAGUCGUAGUAUCUGUUAGCUAAGGACCUUCAACGUGUUUGAUUCCGCAGUUCAGCCAUUUAUUUUGAGAGGAAGACGUCGAUCCAAUCCACCCCCCCGGUGGUAGGAAUGAAUCUUUCUUAAAGAAACUUCUACUGAAAGACUUAGUUAAUCUGUUUGUAGUCUCUUGUUUAGUUUUUACAUUCUCAUUUCUGUAUUUUACCGUUUCAGUAAUUGUUCAUUGUUGAUGGAACACAUCUCAACCGCUGAGUGAAGAUGUAAUUCAGAUUCUUUGUGCUGAAUGAAAUUGUUCUUUGAUGAACUUUGUUGGUUACCGAAUACUUUUACCAACAACUUAAAGAAAGAUUUUUUGUCGGCAAUUGAAUUUUAGAAA
rnacentral:lncRNA from 1 species